rnacentral:pre_miRNA from 1 species
GUAAUACUCCCUCCGUCCGGAAAUACUUGUCAUCAAAAUGGAUAAAAGGGGAUGUAUCUAGAUGUAUUUUAGUUCUAGAUAGAUAUCUUUUUAUCCAUUUUGAUGACAAGUAUUUUUGAACGGAGGGAGUACUGU